rnacentral:sRNA from 1 species
CUUCAUGCCACAUCCUCGCGACUAAUGACAGAACUUACCCCCUUAAGUACUCUCAUUAGCCGCGCGAACCUCUGUAACCGAAGAGCCUUACCAAAAACCACCAUCAGCAUUCUUAUGCUGUUACAUAAUGAUGGCUUUUCAGAAGAAAAGGGGCCAUAUAUGGCCCCUUUC